CGUGCCCGCUGGCGGCGUGCCUAAUACAUGCAAGUCGAACGGAGUGGCGCGCGGGUGUGUAAUGUAUAGCUAAUCUGCCCUACACUAGAGGACAACAGUUGGAAACGACUGCUAAUACUCUAUAGUGUAGGAUGAGGCUAUAUUGUAUCAGCUAGUUGGUGAGGUAAUGGCUCACUAAGGCUAUGACGCAUAACUGGUCUGAGAGGAUGAUCAGUCACACUCGAACUGAGACACGGUCCAGACGUCUACGGGAGGCAGCAGUAGCGAAUAUUGCUCAAUGGGGGAAACCCUGAAGCAGCAACGCCGCGUUGAGUAUGAUACUUUUCGGAGCGUAAACUCCUUUUGUUAGGGAAGCGGUACCUAACGAAUAAGCACCGGCUAACUCCGUGCCAGCAGCCGCGGUAAUUC
rnacentral:rRNA from 1 species